GGCAGGGAAGGGAAGGAGGCUGUGGCUGUGGACAGAAAGGAGACACAGAGACACAUGGAUGGUGGACACCAAGCAAGAGCUGGACCUGUGAUCAGGUGAAAAAAUGCGACAAGCAGGACCGGCCAUGCGUGCAAAAUGGAUCCUGAAUUAUUGAAAGGCAACCAUGUGGCUGCCACCCGAGCAAACAGAGACGAACAAUAAGAAAGGAAGUCAGAGGAGCAGUGUCUACGGUUGUCUGUCUUUCAACCCAGGUUCUGCUGGAAAGCAUUCAGCCUGGAGAAGGUCUCGGAUUCCCAAAGGCCUUUCUGUUGUGGGUUUUUUCCCCCCUAAACAUGUUGGUUCAUCUAAUAAAAGAG